UCCUCCCAGUACCGUAAAUUCAAAAACUUUAUUCCUUUACCUCACUGUAUAUUACUGCCAUCUCACAAUCUCCUAGACGGUCUGUGGCUGUGAGUUUUUGGUUUCCUUUUCUUUCUUGCUGUUUUAAAUUGUUAUUUUUUAGCGAACUUUUAAAACAGUAUCAGGAACUCUGACUGUCUCGAGCUCGAGGCGGUGCGUCCUCACAGAAAGAGUUGUGCUCGCGCGAGGAAACUUUUUAACAGGACAUAUGAGGCUUCACCGCUCAGCUGAACUCAAACCGGCAUCAUGACACGGCAUUCGUUAAGAAUACUCCUCUCUGUGACUCUCAUGAGACUGUGUCUUCUUAAUCAUAGCAUACUUCCAGCACAAGGGGAAAGUAUAGGUGCUGUUGCCAGCCUCACUGUCUCUAACAAAACUACAUCAUCUCUGUCUCUAACCUGGAAUGAGCCAGCUGGGAACAGGUCGUACUUUACAGUAAAUUGGACUGGUGGCAGUGUGAAUAACAGCAGUAACACUUCAAGCACGUCUUACACUGUCACUG